rnacentral:lncRNA from 1 species
CCAAUAUGUUUCCUUUUGAGGAUGCUCAAGUGGGUCACCAUAAACCUCACUUGUACUGGUAAGCAAGAACCUCGCACCAAUCCUCUUUGCAAGGCCCAACAUGUUAAGUGUGCCCAUCACAUUUGUCUUGUAAUCACAGUUAAGGAUCUCAAAUGCAUCCAAAUUCAAUAAAAUAAUCAAAGAACUCUCAUUUCCAUAACAUUUAACUAAUUAUCAUAUUAGUGCACACACUAUAAAAAAAACCAAAGAAGUAUUAUACAUAAAGCUAAUUUUAAACAAUAAGCCAGGUAUUGAUCUACCGCAGACCCCAUUUAUGGGAUCAAACUGGGUUUGUUGUUGUUGUUGACUUCUUGUUGUAAGUCACGUGAUGAUCUAGAAUUUAUAUAACAGUUGAGGGAAGCCCGGUAUACUAAGCCCUCACUUAGGGACGGAGCUAGAAGACAAGGUAUGGGUUCGACCAAGUCGAAUAUCUUUAAUACAAACCCCAUAUUUGUAUUAAGAAAUUAAGUAAAUAUGCACAAAUAUUGAAUUCAGAACCCAAUUACUAACACGUGAUGUCACUAUACUAUAACUUUAAACCCAUAAAGUUCAAAUUCUAGCUCCGCCUCUGCUCCUCUACGAGGAGGGGUUGGGGAAGGGGUGGCUUACGUUGAAUAUAUUUUCUGCAGUCUUACUUUGCAUUUAUAUAUAAAAAUAGCAGGAGUGAAGAUGUUGAGAUGAAUGUAUAGGUGUACCAGGAAGAAUAAGAUUAAGAAUGAAGUUAUUCGGGACAAAGCGGGAGUGGCCUCCGUGGAAGACAAGAUGUGUGAGAAGUGUGAGAGACGUGUGAGAGAUUGACCAUGGUGGGUUUGAGGAGAGGUCGAGGCAGACGAAGUGCUGGGUAUGUUGUUUUGUUGUUGUUACUAUGCAUUUAUGCAGAAGGCUGUUUCCGCUAGCUGAAUCCGUGACCACCUAAUCACACAACCGGCAAUUCUUAGUGUCGCGCCAAACUAAUAUAACAGUUCUAACCGGUAUUCUACAAAUUCAAUAAGCAAAUCAAAGAACACUCAUUUCAAUAACAUUGAACUAAUUAUCAUGUAUGGACACUCAUACACAAAACCAAAAGAGGUGUUUCUACGUAAAGCCGAUAAAUCUGGAUAAUAAGAUAAGAAAUGACGUAGAAAAAGGAUAUAAUAGUUUUGACAGGAUUAUACUUGUAGUGAACAGGAGAAGCAGGGCAAGCCAAGUGAUAAAUCUGAUCUACUUCCAACAAAAUAGGCUCAACAACAUCAUGCCUAAUAAGCUCAAAUCUUGGAUUCCCAAAAUGAUGCAUCACAUUUUCUUUCCUCCCAGUAAAGAAAUUAUCAAUAACAAUAACAUCAUCCCCUCCCUUAAUUAACUUGUCCACUAAAUGACUCCCAACAAAACCAGCCCCACCAGUUACUACUAUCCUCAUCCUUUUCCUCCCAACACCAACUGGUACUCUCCCUUUAAAAAUUGGUCCAUUAUUAUAUGAUGAAAAAGUUGAUAAAGAUUCAUGAUUUAAGGCAUUAUAUGAUCUCGGAAUUGAAGAAUGUGGUUCAGAAGAUGUGCUUAAGAGAGAAAGACUAGGUUGAAAUAUAAAGAAAGUGGAACCAAUGAGAAUACCAAUAAGAAUGAAUAAUAGUCUUUGUUCUUUGAGGAGAUAGUUAAUGGAUCUGGGUAGAGAUCUAGCUGGAUGUUUGAGGGUCUUUGGUGAGUAUGGUAAGCUUAUUUGAGAAUUCGGUAUUUCUUCAUCUCUUCUGCUUGACUGUUUAUGCAAUUUCAUAGCUCUUUUUCUGGAACUGAUAAAAGGGAAUCUGAGAUUUGUAACUGAAGUGUGUGUGUGUGAGAGAGAGAGAGAGAUAUUUGGGGAGCUUAAAGGUGAAAGAAUUGUUUGAUUAAUAAUGUAAAGAAGAUGAAAAUGAUGUUAGAGAUGCUAAUUACCUGGUGUUUGUAGGAUUUGAUUUCAGUGAUGAGAGACAGAGGAGAGAGCAAUCGGUUAAAUGGGCUGGGCUUCUAAUUGGGUACAAAUCC